rnacentral:rRNA from 2 species
UGGGGAAUAUUGCACAAUGGGCGAAAGCCUGAUGCAGCGACGCCGCGUGAGGGAUGACGGCCUUCGGGUUGUAAACCUCUUUCAGCAGGGAAGAAGCGAAAGUGACGGUACCUGCAGAAGAAGCGCCGGCUAACUACGUGCCAGCAGCCGCGGUAAUACGUAGGGCGCAAGCGUUGUCCGGAAUUAUUGGGCGUAAAGAGCUCGUAGGCGGUUAGUCGCGUCUGCUGUGAAAACUCGAGGCUCAACCUCGGGCUUGCAGUGGGUACGGGCUGACUAGAGUGCGGUAGGGGUGACUGGAAUUCCUGGUGUAGCGGUGGAAUGCGCAGAUAUCAGGAGGAACACCGAUGGCGAAGGCAGGUCACUGGGCCGCAACUGACGCUGAGGAGCGAAAGCAUGGGGAGCGAACA